AGCUGUGCAGAUGGAUGAGAAGUAAAUGCGUUUCUUUCCCUUUGCAGAAACAUGUCUUUGCAGAAGAUGACGUGGAUAACAGAACGUAUUUUGUUGUGCCGACAGCUAAAUUAUAACACAGUCUAUAAAUCUCUGCACUGGGGUAAUUCUACUGGAGUCUUACACCUGCAUGCCUCCUGGUCUUCCACAUCAGAUAAAAAGUAGAUCACCUAUUUUAGUAGUAAAUCUGGUCAGGAAAUUUGGACGUGGGACAGCUUACUCACUGUAGAUGAUUCAUGUCUUUAUGUCCUAGUUUGAAGUGGUUCACCACACCAUGGUCACAACUCCAGAAGUGUCAGAUGAUCAUCAGACAUCACUCCUGCCA